rnacentral:misc_RNA from 1 species
AGAUUUUACAGUUUUGGAGAUAAUUUAAAGCUCGUUACUACCAUAAAAGAUUAUGUAGUUGCCUAUGAUUGUCUGCAUUGUAUACAUUUAAUCCCUUGUAGCGUCUCUAUUAUGUCUUGUAACUUGUUUAUUACCAUAUCCUUCUCAGCAAUUGUCUGUAAUAGUCUUGUAUUCUCCUCUCUAAGAAGCUCAAACUGGCAUACUAUCCCAUCAAUCUGUGCUUCAAUGGCCUCAUCACUCAACUCAAACGCACUCUCCACCACUCUAACCACUCGCCAUAAACUCACCACAACAAGCAAACCUCCUCCUUGCCUCUCCAACAAUGUUUCCAAAAUUAAUGCACCUAAAACAACUGCACCAUCAACCACAUAACCUGGUCGCCGAAACAGGGAGCUGCCUAGCCCCACAGCAAGCGCCAUUGCCUUGGCAGAAAGCAGGCUCAGUAUAGCGAUCCCUACCCAGUGAUACCAAACUCGUUCUAUCUUAUAGUUAUUCUUUUCUGGUGUGCAUGACAAUAAAGAAGAUGAAAGUUCAAGAAUAGUUAAGAUGAGAUCAACCAGCAAUAGUGAGAUUGCGAUAACACGAACUUUUGUUGAUUCUAGGAAUUUAAUUAGGUUGUUUCUCCAUUGUGCUCGUUUAUUCUCGCCUGGUUCAUCUGUUGGAUUGAAAAGGAAAUUCCAUUUUUGCCUUCUGUGCCAGCUUUUGAUUAGAUUUUGAGCUGAGGAUUGGAGGGUUUCGAUGGAGAUGGAAUUGAUGAUGGCAG